rnacentral:tRNA from 1 species
GCGGGAAUAGCUCAGUUGGUAGAGCACAACCUGGUCGCGAGUUCGAGCCUCGUUUCCCGCUCCA